rnacentral:lncRNA from 1 species
UCCCAUCAAACUCAAUCUUGAAAAAUUAAUAAUUUCAAUAUUUGGCCGACCUGCUGCAGUCCGAUCUCGAACAUGGUUCCGACCUCGACGUGUAAUAAUACUGUGAUUGUUGGAUUUGCCGAGCUUCUUUUCAGUCCUGCUAUUUCGGUCAGCGAAACCAUUGAUGGUCCUAUUAGUGGUGUUUGAUUGGUCGUCCUCUCGACGGUCAGAUGGACUAAUGCCGAC